rnacentral:rRNA from 1 species
AGAAUCAACGCUGGCGGCGUGCCUAACACAUGCAAGUCGCACGAGAAAGGGACUUCGGUCCUGAGUACAGUGGCGCACGGGUGAGUAACACGUGAAUAAUCUACCUUCGAGUGGGAAUAACUGAGAGAAAUCUUAGCUAAUACCGCAUAAUACCUACGGGUCAAAGCAGCAAUGCGCUUGAAGAGGAGUUCGCGGCAGAUUAGUUAGUUGGCGGGUAAUGGCCCACCAAGACGAUGAUCUGUA